rnacentral:misc_RNA from 1 species
AAUUAUCAGAUUGAAGAUACUUUCUUGUCAUCGAGAAAGUCAUCUCAGUUUGGUGUUGGGCUCUGCCGUGUUCUUUAUUUGGAACGGCUGGCCUUAAAAGCAUUAGCUGGCCCUCCUGAGCGUUGGUUCUACUCAGCGUGAUAAUAAUCUGACCGCUGAGGACAUCUUCUAUGAUGGCCAAUUCUUGUUUGGGUUGCUUCGAAUUUUGGGUUAUGGACUUUUGCCAGUCUGUUCCAUUUCUAA